rnacentral:lncRNA from 10 species
GAGAGAUCCAUGCCUGAAUUCUAACCAGCAGAACUGUUAGAUAACAAAUGUGUGUUGUUUUAAGCCAACUAAGCUUGUGAUUUGUUACAACAGCCAAAGGAAGCAUAUACCCCUGGCAAAACUGACCAGCACCUGAACACUGCCCCAACAGAGAACUCACCAGAAGACCCUUGAGUCGGGAAUUCCUUCCUGUGGGUAGAACUUGGUAUAAACAAGUAAGCCAAGCAAGGAACUUACACCACAGCCCAGUUAACAACAGGAUGCCCAUGAGAACCCCUGACCCGACUCAGCUCCCUAACCCUGUCCACAAAUGGCCCGGGCUCUGUGCCAAUGACUAAUCUCCAAAGUAUUCAGUGAAGCGUCUGCUCCAUUCGGGAUUUUUUCAGAUGGGCAUUUUGGUUUCAUCAGCCCUGCUUUCUCCCGCUCCGUGACUUUGCAUCAGUUGUCAUGAGGAUGAUUAAAUAAUUUAGCACUUAGCCCCCUGCUGUACUCCUUGGCCUGGAUCAUGACCACACCGAAGGAGUGCCCACCAGCAAGAGACCUGGAGACAUCCCCAGUAAGUGCAAAAGCUGGACACAGUCUUAGGGUCUCCUGCCGGAGGCGGAGGGGAUGAGGGGAAAUGCAUUGCGGCUCCAAGAGGAAUCGCUGGGGAGUGAAUAUUGGAAGGACUGUGUGUGUGCAUUCUGAGCUUCCCAGCAGCCCAGGGGUGGAAAAUAGUGUGUCAAUCACUACAUCAGCCUAGAAUACAACAUCCUCCACUUCCCUGGUAACCUCCCCUCUACUGCCUCUAGACCACUUCAAGUCAUUCCAGAAAUGGCUGAGCCCUUUCACCCUACAGGGUUGACUGGAUCAGAGGAGAACCCCGGGCCAAGCUGGACCAAUCAGAGUUUCCAUCCCUGAAUUUGGAAUUGGAGCUAAGCUAGAACCUGUCUCUUUGAUGGCAGUAAAUGUGAAGCUCAAACACUAGUGAUUGGCUUCUCUCUCCAAAAAGACUAUGGACACAAACAAAGCCAGUCUUCAGAAAGACAGGAACAAGAAUGAUGCAGACACAUCAUGUGUGCAGAGAUGAGAGCCCUAGGUUACCUGCAUCUGCUUCUUGCACCUUCCUGAGACCUGGCAUCAUCACUACCCACGCUGUAAUUCCCCGAGACAACCCUGGCCCAGGCCCCUUUCACUGCUUUAAUUCCUGCAAGCAGAAUCUGGGAUGAACAGUCUGCAUGCCUCUCGCCACCUGUCCCAGGGAUUCCCUGUUCCACAAGACACUUGGGAUCUGCUUGUCAUGCAUCAUGCGUAACUAAUAGUGCAGAGGAAUUAAUACAGUUAAGUGAAACGUCCGUCAGUGGGAAGCCGGAGCAAGGGAAAAUUCUCCUUCCUUUCCCCUCCUCGACUGCCCUGGUUUCAUGUGGCCUCAUGGCAGAAGCCCGCCAGACUGCUACCUGGAUGCAACCAGCUAAAUAACCUGCCCUCAUAUUGAUUCUCCCUCCUCCCCUGCUUCUCCACACUUUUCCCUCACUCUUGCCUUCCUGGGAUUGGACCCCUCAUAAAUUUCAUAACACAAAUCCUUGCCUCAGGCUCUGCUUUUUAGGGAACUCAAUCCAAGACAUUCUUGGUUAAAAUGAGGUCUAUGGUACACUCAGACACUGAAUAUAGUAGAGAUGAAAAAGUCUUGGCUAGUUUUCUGAUAACUGAAAAUGUAAUAUAUACUAAAUUAACUGAAGCUGUAAAACAACCGGUACCCCUCCAAGCAGAUUACGGUGACAGCUACUUUAGCCACAUAACACUAAUCAACUGCUCACACCAGAGAAUGAAAAUAAGAUAUUAGCAAAUAAACCAAGUUUAAGGCCUCACCACCUCUCAAAUACAAGAGAAUUGAAUCUUGUAUAAGAAUCUAAUCUUGCCAGGCACAGUGGC